UUAUUUCGCUGUGUUUACUCGUGUUUACAUUUGCGACCCAAGUGCGAGACACGCGGCUCAAGAUAAGUGCUGACUGCUUUAGACUCAUACUCUGGACACUCAUGAAUGGACUCGAGAUGAUCACACGGAUGAUCACACGGAUUACACGGGGAAAAGCAGGUGCUAUUUUGUAUUUUGUUCUUAAUUUUUUUUCAAACUUAGGAGAACAACGAAAUAAUCCUUUUUUAUCAAUUCCCAUUGACUCCCUUAGAUACCACAGUUCAACUACAUUUUGGGAAUUUUGUAAAACAGAUAUUUUUCGUUUAUCUGUUUAUUGCCGACAAGAAAAAAUACUUUUUCGCUUUAAUUUCGCAGUAGUACUAAAAAGCGUUCAAAACAAUCGCUAGUCUUUGUCAUUAUUAUUGCAUUCUCUUUUUGUUUAUAUUCAAGCAUUCUGUUUAGAAAAGUUUUUUUUUUCACAUUUGUAACUUUAAGUAUAAUUUUAAGAGUUUGCCCAUCCUAACAAGGCAACACUGGUUUGCGACUGAAUUAACG